UACAGAGGUCUCAAGCGUUGUUCGGAUUCAUUGGGCGUAAAGGGUGCGUAGGCGGCGCGGUAAGUCGGGUGUGAAAUCUUCGGAGCUUAACUCCGAAACUGCAUUCGAUACUGCCGUGCUUGAGGACUGGAGAGGAGACUGGAAUUUACGGUGUAGCGGUGAAAUGCGUAGAUAUCGUAAGGAAGACCAGUGGCGAAGGCGGGUCUCUGGACAGUUCCUGACGCUGAGGCACGAAGGCCAGGGGAGCAAA
rnacentral:rRNA from 1 species